CGAUGCGAUCGGAGAGGUCCGACAUCGGGGGCUCGUCCCCCCUCAGGAGUUCAUCGACGCCAGGAACUCUUCGUUCGAGUCCGUCGCCUUGA
rnacentral:tRNA from 1 species